GCAUUGUUCAGUGGUUAGAGCAUCCGCUUUGCAUGCAGGAGAACCAGGGUUCAAUCCCCAAUGGCACCU